AGCGAACGCUGGCGGCAGGCUUAACACAUGCAAGUCGAACGGGCGUAGCAAUACGUCAGUGGCAGACGGGUGAGUAACGCGUGGGAACGUACCUUUUGGUUCGGAACAACCCAGGGAAACUUGGGCUAAUACCGGAUAAGCCCUUACGGGGAAAGAUUUAUCGCCGAAAGAUCGGCCCGCGUCUGAUUAGCUAGUUGGUGAGGUAACGGCUCACCAAGGCGACGAUCAGUAGCUGGUCUGAGAGGANGAUCAGCCACAUUGGGACUGAGACACGGCCCAAACUCCUACGGGAGGCAGCAGUGGGGAAUAUUGGACAAUGGGCGCAAGCCUGAUCCAGCCAUGCCGCGUGAGUGAUGAAGGCCCUAGGGUUGUAAAGCUCUUUUGUGCGGGAAGAUAAUGACGGUACCGCAAGAAUAAGCCCCGGCUAACUUCGUGCCCAGCCCGCCGCCGUAAC
rnacentral:rRNA from 1 species